rnacentral:rRNA from 1 species
UUAAGCGACUAAGCGUACACGGUGGAUGCCCUGGCAGUCAGAGGCGAUGAAGGGCGUACUAAUCUGCGAUAAGCGCCGGUAAGGUGAUAUGAACCGUUAUAACCGGCGAUACCCGAAUGGGGAAACCCAGUGUGAUUCGUCACACUAUCAUUAACUGAAUCCAUAGGUUAAUGAGGCGAACCGGGGGAACUGAAACAUCUAAGUACCCCGAGGAAAAGAAAUCAACCGAGAUUCCCCCAGUAGCGGCGAGCGAACGGGGAGGAGCCCAGAGCCUGAAUCAGCAUGUGUGUUAGUGGAAGCGUCUGGAAAGGCGCGCGAUACAGGGUGACAGCCCCGUACACAAAAGCGCAUGUGCUGUGAGCUCGAUGAGUAGGGCGGGACACGUGGUAUCCUGUCUGAAUAUGGGGGGACCAUCCUCCAAGGCUAAAUACUCCUGACUGACCGAUAGUGAACCAGUACCGUGAGGGAAAGGCGAAAAGAACCCCGGCGAGGGGAGUGAAAAAGAACCUGAAACCGUGUACGUACAAGCAGUGGGAGCCCCACCACC